rnacentral:rRNA from 1 species
UCCGGUGGUCCCAAGUGGGAGGGCCAUCGCUCAACGGAUAAAAGGUACGCCGGGGAUAACAGGCUGAUACUGCCCAAGAGUCCAUAUCGACGGCAGUGUUUGGCACCUCGAUGUCGGCUCAUCUCAUCCUGGGGCUGGAGCAGGUCCCAAGGGUACGGCUGUUCGCCGUUUAAAGAGGUACGUGAGCUGGGUUUAGAACGUCGUGAGACAGUUCGGUCCCUAUCUUCCGUGGGUGUAGGAUACUUGAGAGGAGUUGCCCCUAGUACGAGAGGACCGGGGUGAACGAUCCACUGGUGGACCUGUUGUUGCGCCAGCAGCAGUGCAGGGUAGCUAUGAUCGGACAGGAUAACCGCUGAAGGCAUCUAAGCGGGAAGCCCCCCUCAAAACAAGGUAUCCCUGAGAGCCGAGGUAGACCACCUCGUCGAUAGGCCAGAGAUGUAAGUGCAGUAAUGCAUUCAGUUGACUGGUACUAAUGGCUCGAUAGGCUUGAUUUG